GACGAACGCUGGCGGCGUGCUUAACACAUGCAAGUCGAACGGAAAGGCCCUGCUUUUGUGGGGUGCUCGAGUGGCGCACGGGUGAGUAACACGUGAGUAACCUGCCCUUGACUUUGGGAUAACUUCAGGAAACUGGGGCUAAUACCGGAUAGGAGCUCCUGCUGCAUGGUGGUGGUUGGAAAGUUUCGGCGGUUGGGGCUGGACUCGCGGCUUAUCAGCUUGUUGGUGGGGUAUUGGCUUACCAAGGCUUUGACGGGUCGCCGGCCUGAGAGGGUGACCGGCCACAUUGGGACUGAGAGACGGCCCAGACUCCUACGGGAGGCAGCAGUGGGGAAUAUUGCACAAUGGGCGGAAGCCUGAUGCGGCAACGCCGCGUGCGGGAUGACGGCCUUCGGGUUGUAAACCGCUUUCGCCUGUGACGAAGCGUGAGUGACGGUAAUGAGUAAAGAAGCACCGGCUAACUACGUG
rnacentral:rRNA from 1 species